CCUACGGGCGACAGCAGUGAGGAAUAUUGGUCAAUGGACGAGAGUCUGAACCAGCCAAGUAGCGUGAAGGAUGACGGCCCUAUGGGUUGUAAACUUCUUUUAUAGGGGAAGAAAAUGUGCCACGUGUGGGAUUUUGUAUGGAACAUAUGAAUAAGGAUCGGGUAACGCCGGGCCAUCAGCCGCGGUAAUACGGAGGAUCCGAGCGUUAGCCGGAUUUAUUGGGUUUAAAGGGAGCGUAGGUGGAUUGGUAAGUCCGUUGUGAAAGUUUGCGGCUCCACCGUAAAAUUGCCGUUGAAACGGGCAGUCUUGAGUACAGUAGAGGUGGGCUGCAUUCGUGUUGUCGCGG
rnacentral:rRNA from 1 species